rnacentral:rRNA from 1 species
CGCUCUCGCAUCAGGGUUCGAUAAGCCUGCAGUCGAGAGGGGUCAAGCCCUCGGCGUACUGCUCAGUAACACGUGGAUAACCUGCCCUGAGGAAGGGGAUAAUCCCGGGAAACUGGGGAUAAUACCCUAUAGGCUACCGAGGCUGGAAUGCGCGGUAACCCAAAGCUCCGGCGCCUCAGGAUGGGUCUGCGGCCGAUUAGGUUGUUGUUGGGGUAACGGCCCAACAAGCCGGUAAUCGGUACGGGUUGUGGGAGCAAGAGCCCGGAGAUGGAUUCUGAGACAUGAAUCCAGGCCCUACGGGGCGCAGCAGGCGCGAAAACUUUAUAAUGCGGGAAACCGUGAUAAGGGAACCCCGAGUGCCUGUAACCACAGGCUGUUCAGGUGUUUAAAACGCAUCUGGAGAAAGGGCCGGGCAAGACCGGUGCCAGCCGCCGCGGUAAUACCGGCGGCUCGAGUGGUGCCACUAUUACUGGGCUUAAAGCGUCCGUAGCCGGGUUGUUAAGUUUCUUGGGAAAUCCAGCGGCUCAACCGUUGGGCGUUCAAGGGAUACUGGCAAUCUAGGGACCGGGGGAGGUAAGAGGUACUCUAGGGGUAGGAGUGAAAUCCUGUAAUCCUUGGGGGACCACCUGUGGCGAAGGCGUCUUACCAGAACGGCUCCGACGGUGAGGGACGAAAGCUGGGGGAGCAAACCGGAUUAGAUACCCGGGUAGUCCUAGCCGUAAACGAUACUCGCUAGGUGUCGGCCGCGGUGCGAUCGUGGUCGGUGCCGUAGGGAAAGCCGUGAAGCGAGCCACCUGGGAAGUACGGCCGCAAGGCUGAAACUUAAAG